UACGUAGGGACCAAGCGUUGUUCGGAUUUACUGGGCGUAAAGGGCGCGUAGGCGGCCUAGCAAGUCACUUGUGAAAUCCCCGGGCUCAACCCGGGAACUGCGUCUGAUACUGGAGGGCUUGAAUCCGGGAGAGGGAUGUGGAAUUCCAGGUGUAGCGGUGAAAUGCGUAGAUAUCGGGAGGAACACCUGUGGCGAAAGCGGCGCACUGGACCACAACUGACGCUGAGGCGCGAAAGCUAGGGGAGCAAACAGG
rnacentral:rRNA from 1 species